AAAAGAAAGGGAAAGAUAAAAGAAAGGGAAAGGUAAGAAAAGAAAGAAAAAGGUAAAUGAAAAGAAAGGAAAAGAUAAAUGAAAAGAAAGGAAAAGAAAGGGAAAGAUAAAAGAAAGGGAAAGAUAAAAGAAA